ACCCUAACCUUGAAAACCCUAAUCAGAACCCGUUUCCCCUCUGAGCCCAACAGCAGCAAUGCACAUACUUUCCCUUUCCCAAAUCAUGCGCAGCAACCAUGGAGAAAUGGUGAGAGAGGGGGAUCGAGCCAGAAGAAGUGGCGUCGGAGAGAGGGAACUUCACUCGCGCCAUCUUCUAGCAGUCAUCAUCGGCGUCUCACUGCCGCCGCUGGAGGGGCCGUCACCCAUGCAUUGUCGCCACCAAUCUCGCGCCGCCGCGGUCCCGCCGAGCUUCUGCCAACACCGCACGAAGCAGAGAGAGAGACAGAUGGAGAAGAGGGCCACGGAGGGGGGGAAGAGCCACCGAUUGUAGUCACCGUUGGGUCCUUGUUCCUCGCUGUCGAAGGAGCUGCUCCCAGCCACAGUGGUCGCUGAUGUUCGCGCCGCUGUCGUCGGAGAAACCCGAGGAGAAGAGAUGAAUGCGACGGGGAAGAGUGAGUGAGCUGUGCCAGCGUUGUUGGAGCCUCACCGCCGCCGUCCCUGUUGUGACUGGUGUCGCGUCGGAGGACCACCGUCGCGGGAGAAAGGGAGGGAGCUCGCGGUGAAGAGAGAGGGGCGCUGUCUUGCGCGCCGCCGUUGCACCUGGAUACCGCCGCUGCUACUGCGAGCUCGCCGUCGCCGGAGCUGGGUAGUUGUUGUCCCUGCCAGCAGCGAAGAAGAAGCGAGAUGAAACCCCCUCCAUGUCUGCUGUCUCGGUCCGCUGAGAAAGAGUUAUCGCUGCCGUUGCUGGAAAACUCUGCCGGUAAGGGUUUUGAAUUUGGUCUUCAUUUGUUUAAGAUUCUGGAAGCUUUAACGUCUCUGUAUGUGGGUUCCAGGCACCAUUGCCGGAGUCCGGUCGCCGCUGCUACUUGAGGUGGCUGCCGGGCUGCUGCCGAACCGGUUCAGAGACCGCCGUUGUUUUGGUUUAGCCGUUCUUUCUUCGGUUCGUUGUUGUAUGUUGCAAUUAGAGUCGUUGAGAUUGUUGAGAAAGCAAGUGGAGCCGAGUUGUUGGUUGCCGUCACUUCGGGUUGAGGCGAAAGGGACUCUGUGAGACGUUUGGGUUAUGGAUUUGUAUUUUAAGGAUAUGGAUGCAGAAGUCACGAAGAGUUUAUUUAAUUGUUGUGGAAAUGCUCUGUGUUGCUUUAGAUUAUUAUUUAUUGUACCCCUCGCCUUCAACUUGAUAUAUUUUGUAAGAGGGAUAGGGAUUGUAUUGGUUAAUGUCUGUAAUAUUAUUUAUAUAUAUGUAUGUAUAUAUAUGGAUGUACUCUUUAUGAGUUUC